UGAGAGGCCAUACCUUAGUGGUAGAGUGUUUGCUCUGCAUGCAGAAAAUCUCAUGUUCAAUCCCUGGCCUCUCCA